rnacentral:rRNA from 1 species
UACGUAGGGGGCAAGCGUUGUCCGGAUUUAUUGGGCGUAAAGAGCGUGUAGGCGGCUAGAUAGGUCCGUUGUGAAAACUCGAGGCUCAACCUCGAGACGCCGGUGGAAACCAUCUAGCUAGAGUCCGGAAGAGGAGAGUGGAAUUCCUGGUGUAGCGGUGAAAUGACGCAGAUAUCAGGAGGAACACCGGUGGCGAAGGCGGGUCUCUGGGCCGAUACUGACGCUGAGGCGCGAAAGCGUGGGGGAGCAAACAGG